rnacentral:SRP_RNA from 2 species
ACCGAGCUCGGUUGCGCGGGCUUGUAACCCAAGUGGGAGCAUUAAGGUGAUGUGGAUGUUUGGUGCGGACUCUGGGUCUGGGUCUUGCUGGCCCUGCCCGUUUCAAGUUGGUAGUCGCCUGUGUGGUCCAAGCGAAAGCUCGGGUUUCACUGGACACUAAAGUGGCAGGAAUAGCGUGAGGCUGGCUUUGUUGGCUUCACAGAGCAGCGAUCACUGCCCGCUUCCAACGGUGGAAGGAUAAUAGGCCGCUACAUCAUGGGCUCGACCUGGACCCUGAGGAGCUGGCGGCAAGGACACGAUA